rnacentral:rRNA from 1 species
AUGGGAAAUCCAUAUGUGGCUCUUUCUCUCGAGAUAUACCACACAUGGUUGGAGCAAGUUCACACAGUGCAUGCAGUAUUCGAGCUGUCAAUAUUCAACCAUUCAAAAGGAGUUUAUUGUGGAUGCAAAGCUAGCUACAACUUUGAUGUCAAGAAUACCUACUCGAAGCCGCAUUGCUUGAUUCCUCUUCAGGAGCUACUGAAAUCAUCUGCUUUUCUAGUUGAUGAUAGCUGUGUCUUUGGUGUGGAGAUAUUAAAAAUCGAUGUCUCUUCUCCUGAAAAGAAGGAUGUUGUGGUUCAGAAGAAGGCUACUACAGUUCAGAAUCUCUUUAUCCAGAAGAAAGGGUUCAUUAAAGGGACAUACACUUGGACCAUGGAUAAUUUCCUUGAAUUGGACUUGAAGCACUUCGUCCGUUCUCCUACAUUUGAAGUUGGCGGACUUAAAUGGUACAUCCGUAUGUAUCCACGUGGUGACAAGUACAGCAAUGAUUGCCUCAGCUUGUACUUAUCCCUGGAUGACUCGGUUGAGCUCCCUUUGGAGUAUGGGAAGGUGGUUGAAUUGACACUAUCCAUCGUGGACCAAAAGAAUGUGAAACACCGGACUGCAACUUCAGGUCUCUGGGUAUGUGGACAGGGACAUAAAUUGGUAUGUGUACAGGGAAUGGGAUCGUCUAACUUCUUUGGACUGAAGGAACUCAAGGACCCGUUGGGAGGCUAUGUUGUGGGAUCGAGCUGCAUUGUGAAGGCAGAUCUCACCAUCGUCGGUUCAUCCAAUGAUGACUAG